rnacentral:lncRNA from 10 species
GGAACCGUAAUCUGCAUUUCUUAAAAGAUCUCUAAGAGGGAGGUGGGAAACAAAUGCCAGUGGGCAAGGGCGAAACAGGGAGACAAUUUCAGCAACCAUUUCAGUGCCCUAAGAAGGAGAUGGCGAGGAGUGAAUGAUCUUCGUGGCCUGGCAGGAGGAGCUCACAUUGUUGACAAUUAACCCAAUCCAAGAGACCUGCAUAAAUCAAUCACUACAGGAAAAAAAAAAUUGUUCUUGAUCUACAGUGACAAAUGUGUAGACAAGACUUCACUCGCAUCCUGCAGCUGCUCGGCAGGAAUCCUGCACCCGCCUCCAGCCAAGGACUCCUUGACAAGUUCACGAAAGGGCAAUGAACGUUGGAGGUCAGCUCCUGGCUGCCUCGUCCGCUGCUGGGCUGCCCAACCUCCUCCUUGUCCCUCCCUUCUCACACCAAGCCAUCCACACCUGCCAACUUCCACAGACCCUCCUCAGACCUGCAAGACCUCCCUGACCGUGUUGGCCCGCAGUGACCUCCAUACUUGUCAAAUCACCUCAUCCCUUGUCAUUUGGGUCUUAGUUGACAUACAAGGGGCGUUGCAACUUUACUGCUUCCUCUGUCUGUCUCCUAAGCAGAUCACAGAGUUGCCCUUCCUUCCUCAGGGCACCAGAGCAGUGCUUGGGCCAAGCCAGGAUUAUUCCAACUUCGGUUGACUGAAAACUUAAUGUCACACCAGAUCAGUGUUUGCUGGGGGUGUGCAUGUGGG